UUAAUUUAUUUACGAUAAGUAUUCAUAAAAAUUAUAAUUUAAUUUCAACCAACUUAUAUUUGAAUUGUAUGUUUGCAUAUGCACUUGCGUCAUAAAAUGAAACAAAUACCAGUGAAUAUGCAAAUGUAGCUGUCAAUGCCAGAUGACUUGCUUCUCUUCAUACUUGCUAUUGUGCAUAUUAUAAUUAGAAUGGCAGCGUGUUGUUUGACUAAGCACCGUUAAGUGUGAGAUGGUGAAAAAGAAUGAUGAAAAUUGUCUUCAGUCUCGGCUCUCAAAUGACCUCAAAUCCAAAUCCCAAAUAUAGAUAGAACAGGAUUAUGCUUUUCACCCGAAAAAAUAAUCUCACAACAUACUAAGGAGAUCUACAGGGUUAUUGUCCUGCUCUUUUUUUGUGUGCAUACAACAGGUCAGGAAAUAUAUUAAAAGUAAAUAACUGAUGACAAGAUAAAUCAAGAGGUAACAGAAACUUCUAAAACCAAAUCAUAUAUUAGCAAUUAACAAUUUAAAUAUCUAUUUACAUAUUUGUUCAUUACAUCAAAAUCAUUCUGCUAAAGACAGUCAUAUCAUUAGUAUCUACAAGAACCUAAGAUAAACAGCUUACAACUUUACACACUCCUAUGUACAGAUAUGUGUGUAAUAUUAUUUCGUGUACUUUUUACAUUUUUGUUAUACAAUUAUGUUCAUACGUUAUCAGUCAAACAUUUAUAUCAUGGCCCGUGAACACCGACUGAUAUAGUGGCUGCCACAAUCAAAACACGAGCAGCUUCUACUACCCUAUCAGUCAGAGCACCAGCCCCAACUUUAAGGAGAGCCAUUUCAGCUAAUUUCCUCCCGCGGGGCCCAGUUCCCCCAAGCACGAC